GACGUAGGGGGCCAGCGUUGUUCGGAAUUACUGGGCGUAAAGGGUUCGUAGGCGGUGUGGCAAGUCGGGAGUGAAAUCUCUGGGCUCAACUCAGAGACUGCUUCCGAAACUGCUGUGCUGGAGUGUGGGAGAGGCGCGUGGAAUUGCAGGUGUAGCGGUGAAAUGCGUAGAUAUCUGCAGGAACACCCGUGGCGAAAGCGGCGCGCUGGACCGCUACUGACGCUGAGGAACGAAAGCUAGGGGAGCAAACAGG
rnacentral:rRNA from 1 species